UGAUUUAGAUGGAGGACUUGAAGAAGAACAGAACCCCCUUGGCUUUAGUCACUGGCCCAUGGAACACCAAUGGAUGCGGCUCCUGUACAUGGCACAGAGCUGGUCUGCUUGACUCCAGGGACAGGUAUCCACCUCAUGUGCUGAUCACUGCCAUUGGUAUUACUGGAGAUGUUGCUAGCAAAGUUGAAGGAGGCUUCAGAGUGUCCUUCAUGCGACAGGAUCUGGACACAUGAGUAUUAACUGGAAGAAGCCUUCUAUGCCCCACCAAAAGCCAAGGUUCCUCCAAGGAAGAUUUUACAAAAUCAGAAGCAAUGGAAAAGGAGGAAGAAAAAUAACUCCAGGAUGAUUUUAGAUGAGCAGUUAUUAAUGCUGAAAAUUCCUUUAUUAACCCCUCCAAACCUGCUCUGCAGGGAGGGGAAACUUCUAAAGAUAACUGAAAUACAUUAAAGGGGCAAACUCCACAGAUUGUGUGGAAAGCUGUGACACGUCAGAUGAAUCCCUAUGGACUAUCUUCAUGUUUACGCUGCUUUUAUGUGAAGUAACUGGCCUGUCCCCCACAGAGCAGCUCUGCUUUCUAGGAGUGCUGAAUCUGGAGCUGAGUGACUCAGUCUGAAAGCCGGAUCAGUUUUAUGUGUCCUCUAAUCCCCCUCAGACUACUUGUGUCAAUGAAGACUACUGCUUCGUUAAUGCAGAAGCCAAGAACGCAUAUGUUCCAGCCAUGCUGUUUCAUUCAGUCUCCUACCCGCUGCUUUGACAACACUGCUAGAACCUUAGAGCUAAGGAGAGCUCCAGUUUUUGCUUUUGAUAAGU